UGCGGAGGGAGCUAGCGUUGUUCGGAAUUACUGGGCGUAAAGCGCGCGUAGGCGGCUUUGUAAGUUAGAGGUGAAAGCCCGGGGCUCAACCCCGGAAUUGCCUUUAAGACUGCAUCGCUAGAAUCCAGGAGAGGUGAGUGGAAUUCCGAGUGUAGAGGUGAAAUUCGUAGAUAUUCGGAAGAACACCAGUGGCGAAGGCGGCUCACUGGACCGGCAUUGACGCUGAGGCGGCGAAGGCUAGGGGGAGCGAACGGG
rnacentral:rRNA from 1 species